GCAACCCAAGCAGACAGGAACUGGAGGGAACACAAUCCUUCAAGGACACGAAAGACUUGAACAUCUUUCCCCCAGGUGCCUGAGUCUCAUCUGCCACACCCACAGUCAUGGAGCAUCAUACGGACGGAUCUUCUUGAACCAUGUUGUGUGACCUGCCUAUGAGAAAGCCCACUACCUGGAGCCUCUUAUUGUCAUGCCCAUUGCUUGAUGGACCCCCUGAUUGCGAGCAGGCCCCUCUGACACCAUACAUCCAUAUAUUGCACUUCUGGGCCUCUGAGAAACAGACCUACAGGUGUUGAUCUCAAUAAACAUCUUGCAGCCCAAACUCCAUCACACAUCAGCUUCCAGAAAACUCAACCCAUGCCACAGGAAAGGACUGUGAACAUGCCAAGAGGGAGAGCAAGAGAGUUUUGCAGACGACAGGUGCUCACAGUUUGGUGGCAGCAGAAUUAAGGAGCCCACAGGCAACUGCUGGGCGGGAGAGCAGGCAGAAUUCAGGAGAGUCAGGAAGACAGGACAGGCGUGGGUAACCGGAUGGAACGAUGAGCCUGAUUCAACACCACG